rnacentral:rRNA from 1 species
UGCAAGUUGAACGCAGCAUAGAGCUUCGGCUCUAUGGCUGAGUAGCAAACGGGUGAGUAACGCGUGGGAAUCUGCCUUUUUGUGGGGGAUAACUGAGGGAAACUUCAGCUAAUACCGCAUGAGCUCUACGGAGGAAAGGCCUUAUUAGUGGUUAGUCAUUAGUAAUAUGUGAUUAGAAUGAAAAUUCUAGUUACUAAUUACUAAUAACCAAUUACUGUAUGAGGUCGCGAAAAGAGGAGCCCGCGUCAGAUUAGGUAGUUGGUGGGGUAAAGGCCUACCAAGCCAAUGAUCUGUAGCUGGUCUGAGAGGAUGAUCAGCCACACUGGGACUGAGACACGGCCCAGACUCCUACGGGAGGCAGCAGUGGGGAAUAUUGGACAAUGGGGGAAACCCUGAUCCAGCAAUGCCGCGUGAAUGAAGAAGGCCUUAGGGUUGUAAAGUUCUUUCACCUGUGAAGAUAAUGACGGCUGCAGGAGAAGAAGCCACGGCUAACUCCGUGCCAGCGUCCGCGGUAAGACGGAGGGGGCUAGCGUUGUUCCGAAUGACUGGGCGUCAAGGGUGCGUAGGCGGUUUUUUAAGUGAGGCGUGAAAGCCCUGGGCUUAACGCAGGAAUUGCGUUUCAAAGCUUGAGUACGAGAGAGGUAACUGGAAUUCCUACUGUAGAGGUGGAAUUCGUAGAUAUUAGGAAGAACACCAGUGGCGAAGGGCGGCUUACUGGCUCGUAACUGACGCUGAGGCAC